rnacentral:lncRNA from 1 species
UGAUGGUAAAUACCGAGUGUCGACUGGAUUGAAGGAUGCAAAGUAUUGAUCCUGGGUGUGUCUGUGAGGGUGUUGCCAAAGGAGGUUAACAUUUGAGUCAGUGGGCUGGGGAAGGCAGAUCCAACCUCAAUCUGGUGCGCCAUCUAAUAAGCUGCCAAUGAAUAUAAAGCAGGCAGAAAAACAUAAGAAGGUGAGACUGGCCUAGCCUCCCAGCCUGCAUCUUUCUCCCAUGCUGAAUGCUUCCUGUCCUCGAACAUCAGACUCCAAGUUCUUUAGUUUUGAGACUCGGACUGGCUUCCUUGCUCCUCAAGCUUGCAGACAGCCUAUUGUGGGACCUUGUGAUCAUGGUCUUAACUCUGUCACCCAGGCUGGAGUGCAGUGGUGUGACCACAGCCACUGCAGGCUCAACCUCUGGGACUCAGGUGAUCCUCCCAUCUCAGCCUCCCAAGUAGCUGGGACUACAGGUUGCUUCUUCCAGAUCCCUUUUGAUCUACUUUCAGCUAUGGAUUCAUGAGAAUCAAGACUAAGCAGCCUGAAUUGAAGGAGUAACAGUAUCACCUAACAAUGAUUUUGCUGCCAUAGUAGCUGUUUGUAUACUGGCCAUAUGCCUAGGUAAAAUGAGGCCAGAUCACUCUCAAGAGUUUUCUAUCAGAGUUGGUGGUGAACUACUGCUCACGGAUAAUGACGAGAAACCCCAGCUGAGGAGGCAAAUAUACUCAAGGAAAGUAAUAGUUUCCAAAUGCCUGGCAGUGCCAGGAAGGGGCCAUGUCCAUGGACCACUAUGUAAGGAUAUCUCAGUCUCUAGUCCAGCGUGGUUUAUGGUGCCAAAUAAGUGCCAGGUGAACUCACUACAUCUGACAAAAUCUCAAGGAACCAAGUUUACCAGAUAAUAUUUAUGAUUAUGUGAAAAAGACUGAGGAAAUCACUCAAGUGAUCCAUCAUACAGCACCUCCAGUUCCAAAGAAUACUGACUUACUUCAGCUGUACUGGUCUGGAGCUGCACAUUCUUUUCAGACAACUCUUGUUCCAGUAAGUUCAGGCUAGAGUGCAAUGGUGCAACCUCAGCUCACUGCAACCUCCGCUUCCCAGGUUCAAGCGAUUCUCCUGCUUCAGCCUCCCUGGUUGCUGGGAUUACAGGUGACUCUUCUCCUGUAACAGAGCCUCCUUCUUAGAAACUAUGGCCUCCCGUUUCUUUAAGUCUGCUUCCAGCUCCUCUAAUUCUUGGCGUUGGUUCAGAACUUUCUCUACUUCUUCAUCUAACCAUUUCUUUUGCUCAUCCAAUUUCUACAUUAAAAUUAAAAAAAAAGUUACUUGUUUUUCCUUCUGCCAUAAAAAUUAUAUGGUAAUAAUAGAAUUUCAGAUUGGCUGAAAUCUCUUAAAUGAACAUUUAAAAACUAUCACUCAGAGUAACUCAGGUAGCCGUCUGAGAUCCUAAAGACAUCAGUGGUUCUAGUCAAGAUGUAGCUAUGUUGUUUUAUAAAGAAUUAAAAUUUACUCCCCAGAUAUGUUAAACAGUCUAGGAUUUUUUAGCCUGACGAAGAAAGGGCUGAUAAUUUUCUAUGCCUAUAUUAAGAACAUGCUGGAAUCUUUUACUCUGUUGUAGUGGUGCACAGUUCCAUCACAGCACUUACACUGGUGGCUGCCCUACGUAUCUAUCUCCCCAGCUUGAGCUCCUUGAUUGAUUGCAGGGGCUGUAGUUUUUACCCGUCUAUCCACAUGGCUGGUAUAUUGCCUGGGCCACAGUAGGCAUUCAAUAAAAUGUUAAAUGAAUGAGUGAAUGAAUGCCUGAUUCAGUCAGUCAAUGAAGUGAAUAAAUGAAUACACACAGUGGAAGACACAGAUGAUGGAGGAUGGAAGGAAAGCCAAUUUGCAUUGUAGCUUGUCAACCUCAAAUAAUUAUUUUUAAAAAAGAAAAAAAACAAAAAUAAAAAAUUGCUGAAAAGAUCUCCAAAACAA